CCGAAUUAGGAAAGUGCGGGAUGGAAGGGCGGGCGGCCUGGCAGCUGUCGACCAUGCUGGCGGAGGCAGUGGCAAGGGUGGAUGAGCGUUGGGGAAGAAGGAGGUGGUGCGGAUGGGCCCUACUAGGCUGUGGGCCUAAACCAUGGUUCUUAUCUGACUUCCACUAAUUAGAUAGGAUAGGACCCCGUCAUGUAGGACUGAGGGGCUGUUUGGCUAUAGCUCUUCAAGUUUAACACCCGUCGUAUUAUAUGUUUGAUGCUAAUUAGGAGUAUUAAAUAUAAGCUAAUUAUAAAACUAAUUGCACAGAUAGAGUAUAAUUCACGAGACGAAUCUAUUAAACCUAAUUAAUUCAUGAUUUGACAAUGUGGUGCUACAGUAACCAUUGUUAAUGAUGGAUUAAUUAGGUUUAAUAGAUUCGUCUUGUGAAUUAGCACAGGGUUCUGCAAUUAUUUUAUAAUUAGCUCAUGUUUAGUUCUCCUAAUUAGCAUCCGAACAUCCGAUGUGACACUGUUAAAGUUUAGCAUCUCGUAUCCAAACACCCCCUGAGCAUAAAGCCUUUGAGUAGGCUAAAUAAAUAAGUA
rnacentral:lncRNA from 1 species